AUACUUACCUGAGGCCGGGGCCUCGUUGAUCACCGGGGACGAGCCCCCAGGACGAAGCGCGGGCAUUGCACUGCGCUCGCGUUGACCCCUGCCACUACCCCAAGCUGGGGCAGAUGGGUCAUACAAAUUGCUUAAAUUAGGUUCAACGCAGGAGAGGGAUCCAC
rnacentral:snRNA from 1 species